UCACUGAUUAUUCAUCAUUGUGGCAACGACUGUAAACGUUACCCACAGGAGGUUGAGACCAUGAAGAGCCUGUUGUUGGUUUAUCCUUAAAUGAAAGAUGCAGAUUUUAUUAAUAUUUGCCUGGAGAAAUCAACUCCAUUCUGAGCUGCACCCGGGACACAAGAUGUACCCUGUAGAAGCUUUGGACAUUUCUGGAUCACAUUAUUGGGUCAGGAGAUCAUUACCCAAAUGUGAAAUGAAGGACUUCUGAAUGGGGUGAAUUAUUUCAGUUCUCCCUUGGGCAUGGCAUGUGGUACUAUAAAAAAAGAAGAUCCCAUUUCUGAUACACACAGGGCCCCCUCCCCCAGCUAGAGAGAUCUAAAGCCUGAAUACUGUCACUGAGCAAUUUAAAAUGUUCCACUGUGGUUACUGGAUGCAGGGAUAUGAUGGUUCCAGUUUAUAUGUACAGUUUAUCACUUAUU